rnacentral:rRNA from 1 species
UAGGGAAUCUUCGGCAAUGGGGGGAACCCUGACCGAGCAACGCCGCGUGAGUGAAGAAGGUUUUCGGAUCGUAAAGCUCUGUUGUUAAGGAAGAACGAGUGUGAGAAUGGAAAGUUCAUGCUGUGACGGUACUUAACCAGAAAGGGACGGCUAACUACGUGCCAGCAGCCGCGGUAAUACGUAUGGGGCGAGCGUUGUCCGGAAUUAUUGGGCGUAAAGGGUACGUAGGCGGUCUAUUAAGUCAGGUGUGAAAGCGUGAGGCUUAACCUCAUUAAGCACUUGAAACUGAUAGACUUGAGUGAAGGAGAGGAAAGUGGAAUUCCUAGUGUAGCGGUGAAACGCGUAGAUAUUAGGAGGAAUACCGGUGGCGAAGGCGACUUUCUGGACUUUUACUGACGCUCAGGUACGAAAGCGUGGGGAGCAAACAGG